GCCUAGAGAUAGGUUGGGCCAGAGGUUUAACAAAACACAAUUUAAUUAUUUUUACAGUUAGUCAAAUUUUGAAUUAAUCUUCAAAACUUUCAACAACGGAUCUCUUGGUUCUCGCAUCGAUGAAGAACGCAGCGAAAUGCGAUAAGUAAUAUGAAUUGCAGAUUUUCGUGAAUCAUCGAAUCUUUGAACGCACAUUGCGCCCUCUGGUAUUCCAGAGGGCAUGCCUGUUUGAGCGUCAUUUCUCUCUCAAACCCCCGGGUUUGGUAUUGAGUGAUACUCUUAGUCGGACUAGGCGUUUGCUUGAAAAGUAUUGGCAUGGGUAGUACUAGAUAGUGCUGUCGACCUCUCAAUGUAUUAGGUUUAUCCAACUCGUUGAAUGGUGUGGCGGGAUAUUUCUGGUAUUGUUGGCCCGGCCUUACAACAACCAAACAAGUUUGACCUCAAAUCAGGUAGGAAUACCCGCUGAACUUAAGCAUAUCAAUAAGCGGAAGGAAA
rnacentral:rRNA from 1 species